UUUAUUUAUAAAUCAUUGCUUUGAGCACGAUAGCAAUUAUUAGGGUGAUAAUUCCGUAAAUCGAGCUACUGAAUAGACAUAUCCGCAAUGCAGACCGCAGUAAAGUCUAGUAAUUCAACUUUCUCUCUUUGGUCUCUUUCUUUCUCUCUUACGACGUCGCGCGCAUUUGCUACUUUCAGAACCUUGAAAGUUUUUAAAAAUAAAAAGAUAUAUAUCACCGUGUAAUUUCAUGCUGUUUUACACCGCGAUAGUUGUUUCAUCUCGAAUUCAGAACCAUCUAGCUAGCAAGAAAAAUUAUUUUUUUCAGACUGAGUCUACCAACUUUGUACUGAACUUCCAGGGAUUAAGAGCUACGAAAAAGCUGUGCUUUAAAUUCUUGAAACAAGGUAUAAUUUGGAUUAUACUACAGCACGGAACGCUGCAGUUAACUUAGCAUCGCGAUUACCCGCAUUUGGCUACAAACUACAAGCAGUUCCUGAAACUUUACACUUUUCUGUUAAUUAUUAAUCCACUGGCGAUGGCUGGAUAAAGUGUACUUUUAUGUACGUGCACAUAUCACCCAUGCCAGGGGUUAAUUUUUAUCCAUCUUUGUUGACCAAUAAUUGCCUGACCGGGUCACAUGCAUGCGCUACUGAACGUCAAGACUGAGUUUUGUCUUUAAAAGUAAAUAUUGAAAACUGCGAGCUUAAUGUCAUCUACUGAAGGAUUUUCACAAGUAAUUUGAAUGAACAGAGAUUUGAAAUUGCAAAGGUUACAGAAACAAAGGAAAUAUAAGAUUGAAAAAGUAUAAAGAUUGGCAAAAGUAUUUCCAGAUAAAAUAAAAGUGAUCGAACAGCCGAGACAAAUGAUAAGUGGACACGCGAUAAAUGGGUGCGAGGAUACCACGGUAAAAUUCACCAAAAUUGGACGAGUGAAAUAUAAAUAUUGAAAUAAAUAUUUCAAGCAGUAAAUCAUCUAUAGAAACAAAUAUCCGAGGUAAGAGGAAGAAGAAAUGGAAUUUAUAAAAGCAUUUGGUAGCACUCGCUCGUGUGAUUGCAUCACUCCCACGAGUCUAGUGCGCUAGAGGAAGCACCACGUCAUCUUGUAGAGUGUUAUCGCAACCUGCUGCUUUCCGUGAGCAAACUUUCUUCUCACCGACUAAAAUUUCUUCUUUUAGCAGGUAGUACUAUUACUUCUUAGGAUUUCUCGAUAGUGGCGUCAGUCGAUACCAAACAAGGGAUGCCGAGGCUUGGCUCUAUUAAUUCUAUCUUUCCUGGCUGGGGUGCUGUAGAAUGCUCUGCAAAUAUUAUAAUUAACCACCCGACACUCGAGCCGUGUACAAUCACUUAAUCUUGUAAUUAAAUUAACAGUCUUCACUUCCGCUUUUCUCAUCGAUUAAUUUAUGCAGAUAAAGUCAAAAAAUUUGUCUUAAUAAUUACAAGUAGUUUUUUAAUUAAUCAGCGAUGAAGAAAUAAAAUUACCUAUGCUCUUAAUU